UACGAAGGGGGCUAGCGUUGUUCGGAAUUACUGGGCGUAAAGGGCGCGUAGGCGGUUUGUCAAGUCAGGCGUGAAAGCCCCGGGCUCAACCUGGGAACUGCGCUUGAGACUGGCAGGCUCGAGUUCGGGAGAGGAUGGUGGAAUUCCCAGUGUAGAGGUGAAAUUCGUAGAUAUUGGGAAGAACACCGAUGGCGAAGGCAGCCAUCUGGACCGACACUGACGCUGAGGCGCGAAAGAGUGGGGAGCAAACAGG
rnacentral:rRNA from 1 species